rnacentral:lncRNA from 1 species
CUCCAUAUGUUUUUGUCAUCACCGUCCUCGCCGUCAUCACCACUCAACAGAUUCUUAAUCUACACCUAGUUAGAAUUUUUCAUUAGUAUUCUUCAAAGCAGUCUGCCCCACAUUAUUAGGAUUCUAGUCCUAACCCAGCGUCUGGCAGAAAGCAAGCAUUUAGUACACAUACAUGGAGAGCUGGUCAAGUGUUACCCUCUUCUGUAGCUUCCCAGAGACAAAGCUCAUGCUGUAUCCCUUCUGAGGCUGCAUAUAGUGUUAGGAUCAGCAAACUUUUCAGAUGAAUGAGGAGUGUCCAGCCAACAUUAAACAUCCAUUAGGAAAUGACGCAGAGACCUACGUCUUCCAUUACAGUGACAAGUGGCACCGGAUCCACUUCCAACAAGAAUCAUUCAUAAACUCUCCUCUCUUGCCCUUUACUAAUAACUGACUACAUGUAUGAAGAACGCUGGGAUUCCCUGGUGACUCAGUGGCUUAGUGAUGCUCAGUGCUAAGUGGCUCAGUGCUAAGGCUCAGUGCUAAGUGGCUCAGUGCUAAGGCUCAGUGCUAAGUGGCUCAGUGCUAAGUGGCUCAGUGCUAAGGCUCAGUGCUAAGUGGCUCAGUGCUAAGGCUCAGUGCUAAGUGGCUCAGUGCUAAGGCUCAGUGCUAAGUGGCUCAGCGCUAAGUGGCU